GCUGCGCUAGCUCAAUUGGUAGAGCAUUUGGGCUAAAGACCCAUCGGAUGGAGGUUCGAUUCCUUCGCGCAGCUACA
rnacentral:tRNA from 1 species